UACGUAGGGUGCAAGCGUUGUCCGGAAUUAUUGGGCGUAAAGAGCUCGUAGGCGGUCUGUCGCGUCUGCUGUGAAAAUCCAGGGCUCAACCCUGGACCUGCAGUGGGUACGGGCAGACUAGAGUGCGGUAGGGGAGAUCGGAAUUCCUGGUGUAGCGGUGAAAUGCGCAGAUAUCAGGAGGAACACCGAUGGCGAAGGCAGAUCUCUGGGCCGUAACUGACGCUGAGGAGCGAAAGCAUGGGGAGCGAACAGG
rnacentral:rRNA from 1 species